GCUUCUUGCCUACCAUCCUCACAUGUUACCCUCAUUUACAUAUAAAUCGACGAAAUCAGAGUAUAAUACCUAUAAAUCCUUAACCUUUCCACCUCCUACUUCACAAUCGAUCUCUGUGAGAGAGAGAGAGAGGGAGGGAGGGAGGGAGGGAGGGAGGGAGGGAGAGAGAGAGAGAGAGGAAAAGAAAAGAAGAAGAAGAAGUGAAAACCGACAAGGAGAAAAGGAGACACCGGCGACGAUUCCGGUCACGGAUGCGGGGUUCGUACAAAUCCCCAAAUUGUGUCCCAUUUUCAACGAUGCCGUUUUUCUAGCACUACAAUUGAAUCCGAAAUGUGGUACGUGCUCCUGGGAUGGCUGAGCUCAAGGUGUCACUGGCUAAACCAGGUUUACGGUCUGAUGGAGUCUCGGUCUGGGAAUGGUCAGGCUCGGCAUUGGAUGAGGGAGACGAGACCGCUAAAUGGUUCACUGACUUCCUCGGGAAACCUAGCUGCUUGGUGCGCUUUAAUGAAGGUACCCACUAUCAAUCAGAGGACGCGGCAAUAGGAAGUCAACCAAGGAAAACCAUGAUGAAGUUUCGAUCUGCCGAAGCCUUGGAACUGAACACCACGACCACCAAAUAUAAAGGACAGCCUUACCUUGGGCAGAUGCUGGUGUGUGAGGAUAAAACCAACAAGGGGAAGAUUGUGAGUGUUGGAGAUAUUAUGAGGUGGAAAAGAUGGCAAAUACGCCCCUUCAUGUUGCCGCCAGUCAUAAUAGUGUUGAAGUGGUUAAGUUUCUUUUAAACUUCGCAAGGCCUGAAACUGUUGACUUGGAACCAAAGAAUAGGGUGCAUAAAAUCUUGAUUCAGUUUUAAUUAAUUGUGUAUAUUAUGUUUAUCGUUAUCAUUUAAUUGAUUGGAUCCAUUAUAUGAAGAUGAUAAAAAUGGAAAGAAACCUGCUAAAACCGGUUGUAAUGAAGCUGCAACGCUUCUUCUCUCUCACGGGGCUUCCACCGAAGCCAAAGAAAAUAAUGGAAUGACAACAUUGCACCUUUUAGUUUGGCACUCGCUUAGAGCCAAAGAUAACUCAACUGUGAAAACAUUGCUCGAGCAUAACGCUGACUGUAGUGCCAAAGAUGAUGUACUAAUGACUGGCUUGACUUUUUCUUAUGGGUGCUAAAUGGGUCGUGUUCACGGGUUCAACCCGAACCCGAAAAUCGUGUCAUACAUAUGAACCCAAAGACGACCCGAUUAUUCAUGGGUUGACCCGGACACAACCGAGGGUGCAGUGGUGGCGGCUCCUCAGAAUGACAAGAUGCGAUAUCUAAUGAGAGAUGCACUGUUGAAGAAUCUAUAAUUGGUAUUUUAAGGAUGUUUUGAGGUAAGUUAACUGUAUUACCCAUCAUUGUUUAAUCGAUCUUGCAGCCUCCAAAAUCUCCUUAUUUUGUUACUUUUCGGUCCUAUAAACUGAUAUUCUAAUUUUAUGCAAAAUUAAUGUAAAACCCAUCCCCAACUUUUUCAAUAAUAUAUAGAAACAGUUAAUCAUUGA